AUUGUUGUUAUAACACAAUAAUUUAAUUUUGGAUGUAACGCGUCUUCUGAUUGGCUGACGUUAUUUUGUUAUGAGCCCAUAGACAUAAUUUAGUCAUGUGACUGUGACGUCAUCAACGUUUUUUCAUGGUUUUCUACGGUUUAAAAUGGAAUUUAGAAUUAAAUUAUAAGAAAUGACUGUAAUAUUUUUUUCUGUCUAUUCGAAAUAACAUAAAAAAUGUGGUGCACACUGUUAAAUAACCCGCUACCGCGCGUUAUUCAGUGUGCACCAAAUUUUUUAUGUUAUUUCUUCAUAGACAGAAAAAAUAUUACAGUCAUUCCUUAAUUA
rnacentral:lncRNA from 1 species